ensembl:snoRNA
AUCUUUUUCUGUUUCACAAGCACUAUGAUUGGGUGUUCACAUGUUUGUGUGACAUGUGCCACUCCUAAAUCUUAUUACAAUGUUAGCACAUUACCCAUCGGACA